rnacentral:rRNA from 1 species
UACGAAGGGUGCAAGCGUUACUCGGAAUUACUGGGCGUAAAGCGUGCGUAGGUGGUGCGUUAAGUCUGUCGUGAAAGCCCCGGGCUCAACCUGGGAAUGGCGAUGGAUACUGGCGCGCUAGAGUGCGGUAGAGGAGAGUGGAAUUCCCGGUGUAGCAGUGAAAUGCGUAGAUAUGCGGAGGAACACCGAUGGCGAAGGCAAUCCCCUGGACCUGUACUGACGCUCAUGCACGAAAGCGUGGGGAGCAAACAGG